UCUUACUGCUCUCCCAAUCCCAGUCAAGGCUGGCCAUACUGGGCCCACAGUCGGCAUCCAGGAAUGUUCGUUGAAUGAAUAUCUAUGAGAAUUCUGGCUGCGUCGUUGGAUAGCCAGACUCCAGGCGGAACCUUGAUUCCUGGAAGAAGGUGCCAUUAUCCAAAGCCUUGCAGUUACUGGAGAUGCUUCUCCCAUCGAACCCCAGCCAGUCAGCCAGCCCCUCACUCUUGUCAUCCCGUUCAGGCUCUCUCCCUGAGUACUUGUGAAAUGAAAGGACAGAGUCCUUUCCACUCUGCCAUUUUGUGAAGAUACUAAUGAUAUUUCCUUUGGCUGUACUGUUCAAUUAUAUGAGGCAGAGAAAGAAAGUGAGUUACCUAUUUGGUAAUACAAUGGUGAAGCCAGGAAAUUUU